GGGGACGAGUGGCCGAGCACCGGGCAAACGCCCGCGUAGCUAGUACCCGGAGUUCGACUCUCCGGCGUCUCCACCA
rnacentral:tRNA from 1 species